CCUACGGGAGGCAGCAGUGAGGAAUAUUGGUCAAUGGCCGGAAGGCUGAACCAGCCAAGUCGCGUGAGGGACGACUGCCCUAUGGGUUGUAAACCUCUUUUAUAAGGGAAGAAUAAAUGCUACGUGUAGCAUGAUGCCUGUACCUUAUGAAUAAGCAUCGGCUAACUCCGUGCCAGCAGCCGCGGUAAUACGGAGGAUGCGAGCGUUAUCCGGAUUUAUUGGGUUUAAAGGGUGCGUAGGCGGUUUUUUAAGUUAGUGGUUAAACGUCGGGGCUUCACCUUGAUUUGCCAUUAAUACUGUAAGAC
rnacentral:rRNA from 1 species